rnacentral:rRNA from 1 species
UACGAAGGGGGCUAGCGUUGUUCGGAAUUACUGGGCGUAAAGCGCACGUAGGCGGACUAUUAAGUCAGGGGUGAAAUCCCGGGGCUCAACCCCGGAACUGCCUUUGAUACUGGUAGUCUCGAGUCCGGAAGAGGUGAGUGGAAUUCCGAGUGUAGAGGUGAAAUUCGUAGAUAUUGGGAGGAACACCAGUGGCGAAGGCGGCUCGCUGGACCGGUUCUGACGCUGAGGCGCGAAAGCGUGGGGAGCGAACAGG